ACGCUGGCGGCAGGCCUAACACAUGCAAGUCGAGCGGUAACAGGAAGUAGCUUGCUACUUCGCUGACGAGCGGCGGACGGGUGAGUAAUGCCUGGGAAUAUGCCUUGAUGUGGGGGAUAACUAUUGGAAACGAUAGCUAAUACCGCAUAAUGCCUACGGGCCAAAGAGGGGGAUCUUCGGACCUCUCGCGUCAAGAUUAGCCCAGGUGGGAUUAGCUAGUUGGUGGGGUAAAGGCUCACCAAGGCGACGAUCCCUAGCUGGUCUGAGAGGAUGAUCAGCCACACUGGAACUGAGACACGGUCCAGACUCCUACGGGAGGCAGCAGUGGGGAAUAUUGCACAAUGGGGGAAACCCUGAUGCAGCCAUGCCGCGUGUAUGAAGAAGGCCUUCGGGUUGUAAAGUACUUUCAGCAGUGAGGAAGGUGGUAGUGUUAAUAGCRYUAUCAUUUGACGUUAGCUGCAGAAGAAGCACCGGCUAACUCCGUGCCAGCAGCCGCGGUAAUACGGAGGGUGCGAGCGUUAAUCGGAAUUACUGGGCGUAAAGCGCAUGCAGGCGGUCUGUUAAGCAAGAUGUGAAAGCCCGGGGCUCAACCUCGGAACAGCAUUUUGAACUGGCAGACUAGAGUCUUGUAGAGGGGGGUAGAAUUUCAGGUGUAGCGGUGAAAUGCGUAGAGAUCUGAAGGAAUACCGGUGGCGAAGGCGGCCCCCUGGACA
rnacentral:rRNA from 1 species